AGGCUUUUGACUCGUCACUCACAGGAGACGCAGGGCAAUGGAUCAAAAGCAGGUUGAAGAUAUUGUAGCCAACGCCCAGUUUGGUGAUUUGAUCGAGUUCUCUUACCCAGUUGGAUUUUCACAUUGGGGUGUGUAUGACGGAGAUGGCCUUGUUAUCCAUUUUGCCAUUGCAGAUGAAGGAGACUUCAUGACGACAUUCCGUGGUUACCUGCAAACAGUGAUUCCCUUUUGUGGAGACUUGCUGCUUGGGGAUACAAAAAUACGUCAGCAACCCUUAGCAGAAAUUAAUGUACCAGAUGGAGCUCAUAUCCUGAUCAGCAACAAUCGCCAUGCCUGUGAGCCAUCACAAGAGGGUGAAAUGAGACAGCGUCGAGAUGCCCUUCUCGGCCAGGAGUUACCCUACAAUCUCUUCGAACUGAACUGUGAACACUUUGCCACAUUUAUCCGAUAUGGGAUGGCUGUGUGCAAUCAGAUCCCUGGUAGGACCAAGAACCAGGAAUGUGAAGAGGCAACAGAAACUUUCCAAAACUUGUGUCCUAAAUGAUCUAUUUAUGAAGAACAAUAUUUAGCUUAUCAUGUACGUUUUGAUAUUGAAUACAUUUUAGACUGUGUGUUAGCCUACUUUUAUUGCAAAAGUAGUUACUUAACAAAUCAGUUGUCUUUCCUGUAAUGUCUCUUUUUUAUAAUGCUCAUGGUGAACAAUAAAUGUUUUAAUGUUAAAUACA
rnacentral:lncRNA from 1 species